GAUGAACGCUGGCGGCGUGCCUAAUACAUGCAAGUCGAGCGAACAGACGAGGAGCUUGCUCCUCUGACGUUAGCGGCGGACGGGUGAGUAACACGUGGAUAACCUACCUAUAAGACUGGGAUAACUUCGGGAAACCGGCGCUAAUACCGGAUAAUAUAUUUAACGGCAUGGUUCAAUAGUGAAAGACGGUUUUGCUGUCACUUAUAGAUGGAUCCGCGCCGCAUUAGCUAGUUGGUAAGGUAACGGCUUACCAAGGCAACGAUGCGUAGCCGACCUGAGAGGGUGAUCGGCCACACUGGAACUGAGACACGGUCCAGACUCCUACGGGAGGCAGCAGUAGGGAAUCUUCCGCAAUGGGCGAAAGCCUGACGGAGCAACGCCGCGUGAGUGAUGAAGGUCUUCGGAUCGUAAAACUCUGUUAUGAGGGAAGAACAAAUGUGUAAGUAACUAUGCACGUCUUGACGGUACCUAAUCAGAAAGCCACGGCUAACUACGUG
rnacentral:rRNA from 1 species